UACGGGGGGAGCAAGCGUUGUUCGGAUUUACUGGGCGUAAAGGGCGCGUAGGCGGCCACCGCAAGUCGGUUGUGAAAUCUCUGGGCUUAACCCAGAAAGGUCAACCGAUACUGCGGGGCUAGAGUGCAGAAGGGGCAACUGGAAUUCUCGGUGUAGCGGUGAAAUGCGUAGAUAUCGAGAGGAACACCUGCGGCGAAGGCGGGUUGCUGGGCUGACACUGACACUGAAGCGCGAAAGCUAGGGGAGCGAACGGG
rnacentral:rRNA from 1 species